rnacentral:misc_RNA from 1 species
AUAACCCUUUGUGAACAUACCUAACCGUUGCUUCGGCGGGCAGGGGAAGCCUCUCGCGGGCCUCCCCUCCCGGCGCCGGCCCCCACCACGGGGACGGGGCGCCCGCCGGAGGAAACCAAACUCUAUUUACACGACGUCUCUUCUGAGUGGCACAAGCAAAUAAUUAAAACUUUUAACAACGGAUCUCUUGGUUCUGGCAUCGAUGAAGAACGCAGCGAAAUGCGAUAAGUAAUGUGAAUUGCAGAAUUCAGUGAAUCAUCGAAUCUUUGAACGCACAUUGCGCUCGCCAGCAUUCUGGCGAGCAUGCCUGUUCGAGCGUCAUUUCAACCCUCAAGCACCGCUUGGUUUUGGGGCCCCACGGCACACGUGGGCCCUUAAAGGUAGUGGCGGACCCUCCCGGAGCCUCCUUUGCGUAGUAACUAACGUCUCGCACUGGGAUUCGGAGGGACUCUUGCCGUAAAACCCCCAAAUUUUUUACAGGUUGACCUCGGAUCAGGUAGGAAUACCCGCUGAACUUAA